AUUGAACGCUGGCGGCAGGCCUAACACAUGCAAGUCGAGCGGUAGCAGGCCUUCGGGUGCUGACGAGCGGCGGACGGGUGAGGAAUGCAUAGGAAUCUGCCUAUUCGUGGGGGAUAACACGGGGAAACUCGUGCUAAUACCGCAUACGUCCUACGGGAGAAAGCGGGGGAUCGAAAGACCUCGUGCUAAUAGAUGAGCCUAUGCCGGAUUAGCUAGUUGGUAGGGUAAAGGCCUACCAAGGCGACGAUCCGUAGCUGGUCUGCGAGGAUGAUCAGCCACACUGGGACUGAGACACGGCCCAGACUCCUACGGGAGGCAGCAGUGGGGAAUAUUGGACAAUGGGCGCAAGCCUGAUCCAGCCAUGCCGCGUGUGUGAAGAAGGCCUUCGGGUUGUAAAGCACUUUAAGUGGGGAGGAAGGUCAGUAGAUUAAUACUCUGCUGAAUUGACGUUACCCACAGAAUAAGCACCGGCUAACUCUGUGCCAGCAGCCGCAGUAA
rnacentral:rRNA from 1 species